CACGUAGGGUGCGAGCGUUGUCCGGAAUUAUUGGGCGUAAAGAGCUCGUAGGCGGUGUGUCGCGUCGGCCGUGAAAACCUGCAGCUUAACUGUGGGCUUGCGGUCGAUACGGGCACCACUGGAGUUCGGCAGGGGAGACUGGAAUUCCUGGUGUAGCGGUGAAAUGCGCAGAUAUCAGGAGGAACACCGGUGGCGAAGGCGGGUCUCUGGGCCGAUACUGACGCUGAGGCACGAAAGCGUGGGGAGCAAACAGG
rnacentral:rRNA from 1 species